AACAAAUCCGGAGGGCACUUCCUUGUCAAGUCUUUGAACCUCUCCCAGGCCUCAAAAAGUGUUUCACCAUCUUACUGUCUGAAGGUUUGCACCUCAGUUCUUAAUCU